rnacentral:tRNA from 1 species
GCCUCUAUAGCUCAGUGGUAGAGCACUGGUCUCGUAAACCAGGGGUCGUGAGUUCAAUUCUCAUUGGAGGCA